UACAGAGGGUGCGAGCGUUAAUCGGAAUUACUGGGCGUAAAGCGUGCGUAGACGGUUAUGUAAGUUAGGUGUGAAAGCCCCGGGCUCAACCUGGGAAUUGCAUUUAAGAUUGCAUAGCUAGGGUGCGGAAGAGGGAAGCGGAAUUUCCGGUGUAGCGGUGAAAUGCGUAGAUAUCGGAAGGAACAUCAGUGGCGAAAGCGGCUUCCUGGUCCAGCACCGACGUUCAGGCACGAAAGCGUGGGGAGCAAACAGG
rnacentral:rRNA from 1 species